rnacentral:misc_RNA from 1 species
GACAUUAGCGAGUUACCGCAAAACUCCAUAACCCUUUGUGAACCUACCUACUGUUGCCUCGGCGUCGCGCUGCGGCUGACGCCCGCCCCUACCCGCCCUACCCGGGAGAGGAGGGGGCGGGCCUCAGCCGGCUGAACCAGCCCGCCAAAGGACCUACAAACCAAACCCUAAAUCAAACGUACCUUCUGAAAGAAUCAACUUUGAAACUUAAAUAAGUCAAAACUUUCAACAACGGAUCUCUUGGCUCUGGCAUCGAUGAAGAACGCAGCGAAAUGCGAUAAGUAAUGUGAAUUGCAGAAUUCAGUGAAUCAUCGAAUCUUUGAACGCACAUUGCGCCCGCCAGCAUUCUGGCGGGCAUGCCUAUCCGAGCGUCAUUACGACCCUUAAGCCCCCCGGGCUUAGCGUUGGGAUUCCGCGCCUUCCGGGGCGCGGUUCCCUAAAGCCAUCGGCGGCGCCGCGGCUCCACUUCUGAGCGUAGUAAUCUACAGUUCCUCGCCCCUGAAGUGGCCGCGGCCGCCUGCCGCAAAACCCCACCAACUCUCAGUGGUUGACCUCGGAUUAGGUAGGGAUACCCGCUGAACUUAAGCAUAUCAAUAAGCGGAGGAAAAGAAACCAACAGGGAUUGCCCCAGUAACGGCGAGUGAAGCGGCAACAGCUCAAAUUUGAAAUCUGGCCCUCGCGGUCCGAGUUGUAAUUUGCAGAGGAUGCUUUGGGCGCGGCGCCUUCCGAGUUCCCUGGAACGGGACGCCGGAGAGGGUGAGAGCCCCGUACGGUUGGACGCCUAGCCCUUGUAUAGCUCCUUCGACGAGUCGAGUAGUUUGGGAAUGCUGCUCUAAAUGGGAGGUAAAUUUCUUCUAAAGCUAAAUACCGGCCAGAGACCGAUAGCGCACAAGUAGAGUGAUCGAAAGAUGAAAAGCACUUUGAAAAGAGGGUUAAAUAGCACGUGAAAUUGUUGAAAGGGAAGCGUUUGCGACCAGACCUCUUCCGGGCGGAUCAUCCGGCGUUCUCGCCGGUGCACUCCGCCCCGGAUUAGGCCAGCAUCGGUUCCUCUAGGGGGAUAAAGGCGGGGGGAACGU